rnacentral:miRNA from 1 species
CUUCUCUCUCUCUCUCUCUCUCUCUCUCUGUGUGUGUGUGUGUGUGUGAGAGAGAGAGAGAGAGAGAGAGAGAGGAG